AAAAUCCUGCUUUGCGAAGGUCUAACCAACCAGCAAAUAGCGAGUCUUGCGUAGCAGUCGGUAACGACUGAUGCGAAGCGUAGACAGCGAGUUAGCAGGGAUGAAAUGCUAUUGAGCCUCGAAAAGAUAAAGUAUCCGUUCGGUCGACGGUUUUGCUGACCCGGAAGACAACAUCGUAGAUCACGUUAUUGGUGAGCGAUAUACGACACGGCGGGGUCAUAGGGCC
rnacentral:ncRNA from 1 species